rnacentral:rRNA from 1 species
AUGAACAAGCCUGGGCGGCUUGCGCUGGUGAAGUCUGUGCUGAGCGCCAUCUCCAUGCAUCAACUACUCGCCUACGCGCCGCCAAAGAAGACGCUUCGUCAAAUUGAGAAGAUUGAGCAUGGCUUCUUGUGGGCCGGCCGCGCUGCCGCUAAUGGAGGCCACUGCCAUGUCAACUGGCGCCGUGUUUGCCGCCCCAUAUCGCACGGAGGCCUAGGAGUCCAGGACCUGGAGCGCGCUGGCCUUGCUCUACGGCUAUGA